rnacentral:misc_RNA from 1 species
GAAAUGCGAUAAGUAAUGUGAAUUGCAGAAUUCAGUGAAUCAUCGAAUCUUUGAACGCACAUUGCGCCCGCCAGUAUUCUGGCGGGCAUGCCUGUUCGAGCGUCAUUACAACCCUCAGGCCCCCGGGCCUGGCGUUGGGGAUCGGCGGAAGCCCCCUGCGGGCACAACGCCGUCCCCCAAAUACAGUGGCGGUCCCGCCGCAGCUUCCAUUGCGUAGUAGCUAACACCUCGCAACUGGAGAGCGGCGCGGCCACGCCGUAAAACACCCAACUUCUGAAUGUUGACCUCGGAUCAGGUGGGGAUACCCGCUGAACUUAAGC